rnacentral:rRNA from 1 species
GAUGAACGCUGGCGGCGUGCCUAAUACAUGCAAGUCGAGCGAACGGACGAGAAGCUUGCUUCUCUGAUGUUAGCGGCGGACGGGUGAGUAACACGUGGAUAACCUACCUAUAAGACUGGGAUAACUUCGGGAAACCGGAGCUAAUACCGGAUAAUAUUUUGAACCGCAUGGUUCAAAAGUGAAAGACGGUCUUGCUGUCACUUAUAGAUGGAUCCGCGCUGCAUUAGCUAGUUGGUAAGGUAACGGCUUACCAAGGCAACGAUGCAUAGCCGACCUGAGAGGGUGAUCGGACACACUGGAACUGAGACACGGUCCAGACUCCUACGGUAGGCAGCAGUAGGGAAUCUUCCGCAAUGGGGGAGAGCCUGACGGAGCAACGCCGCGUGAGUGAUGAAGGUGUUCGGAUCGUAAAACGCUGUUAUUAGGGGAGAACAAAUGUGUAAGUAACUGUGAACAUCUUGACGGUACCUAAUCAGAAAGCCACGGCUAACUACGUG